GGGCCCGUAGCUCAGUCUGGAUAGAGCGACUGGCUUCGAACCAGUAGGUCAUGGGUUCGAAUCCCAUCGGGCUCG
rnacentral:tRNA from 1 species